rnacentral:rRNA from 1 species
GAAUAUUAGUCAAUGAUCAAAUAGAUUGAUCUAGUUACUUAGAAAAAUGAGAAACCAAAAAGAAAAGAUAAGGAUAUUUGAAAAAAAUAAAGUUUAAAUUAUACUUAUAAUAAUGAUAGAGUAUAAUAGAGUCUUAACAAAAAUUAGUGCCAGCAGUUGCGGUUAAACUGAGAAGACAAACGUUAAUCAUUAAGGCUUAAAGGAUCCGUAGAACGCCCCCUUUAAAAAUGAGGGGGUAGAGUUAUUAAAUGUUAAAAGAAGUGUUAUGGUAGGGAUGAAAUAUGAUAAUCAUAAAAUGACUUCUAAUAUGUAGAUAUUUAACUUGAAUUAACUGACGUUGAGAGGAUGAAAGCAUAAGUAGUUAAAUGGAUUAGAUACCCAUGUAUUUUAUGCUGUAAACUAUGAAUACUAAUUUAUUAAUUAUUUUAAUUUAUAAAGUGAAAACGUAAGUAUUCCGCCCGGUGAGUAUUUUCGCAAGGAAGAAAUCCAAGACAAUAGACGGUUACAUAAAUAAGCAGUGAAUUGUGUUAUUUAAU